ACCAUGCAGUCGAGCGGUAAGGCCUUUCGGGGUACACGAGCGGCGAACGGGUGAGUAACACGUGGGUGAUCUGCCCUGCACUCUGGGAUAAGCUUGGGAAACUGGGUCUAAUACCGGAUAUGACCGCAUGCCGCAUGGUGUGUGGUGGAAAGAUUUAUCGGUGCAGGAUGGGCCCGCGGCCUAUCAGCUUGUUGGUGGGGUAAUGGCCUACCAAGGCGACGACGGGUAGCCGACCUGAGAGGGUGACCGGCCACACUGGGACUGAGACACGGCCCAGACUCCUACGGGAGGCAGCAGUGGGGAAUAUUGCACAAUGGGCGGAAGCCUGAUGCAGCGACGCCGCGUGAGGGAUGAAGGCCUUCGGGUUGUAAACCUCUUUCAGCAGGGACGAAGCGUGAGUGACGGUACCUGCAGAAGAAGCACCGGCUAACUACGUGCCAGCAGCCGCGGUAAUACGUAGGGUGCGAGCGUUGUCCGGAAUUACUGGGCGUAAAGAGUUCGUAGGCGGUUUGUCGCGUCGUUUGUGAAAACCCGGGGCUCAACUUCGGGCUUGCAGGCGAUACGGGCAGACUUGAGUGUUUCAGGGGAGACUGGAAUUCCUGGUGUAGCGGUGAAAUGCGCAGAUAUCAGGAGGAACACCGGUGGCGAAGGCGGGUCUCUGGGAAACAACUGACGCUGAGGAACGAAAGCGUGGGUAGCAAACAGGAUUAGAUACCCUGGUAGUCCACGCCGUAAACGGUGGGCGCUAGGUGUGGGUUCCUUCCACGGGAUCUGUGCCGUAGCUAACGCAUUAAGCGCCC
rnacentral:rRNA from 1 species